GCUGAUCAUAUCAGAAGACUGUAUAGAGCUUUGUGAGAAACUGCUGAACUGGUUUCCACAGUGACUGUCCCAUUUUGCAUUCUAUGAAUUUUAGUUGUUCCUCAUCAGCAUUUUCUGUCAACAUUAUUUUUAUUUAGCCUCUUCAUAUGUGUACAGUAUUAUCUUAUUGUGAUCUUAACAUGCAUUUCCCUAAUGUAUAUCAUGUUAAACAUUUUUUCAUGUGUUCACUUGUUAUCCAUGUAUGUUCUUUAGGGAUGUGUCUUUCUGUUUCUUUUAUUUUUUAAAUUGAAUUGUCUGUUUGUUUUUUUUACUAUGAAGAUUUGUAGGUUCUAUCAUAUUCUGGAUACAAGAUAUUUGUCAUACAUAGGUUUAGUCUGUAGUUUGUUUAUUCUCUUAUUUUUAUUUGUACAUUAUGAACUAUUAUUUCAAGUGGCUAGCUCUUACUACAUUUUAUUCUUUUUAAAAAAGUUACAGGAAAGAUUAUGUAUGUCAGCUGGGAUUAAGACUCCCAAAAGAUGGGAAUUGAUGAUUUCUAACACAACUUUUGUUAAUUUUGAUCUCAUGGACUGUGUGGCCAUCAGAACCUGUUCGGGCUGUUCCCAAGGACAGGGUGGAUUUACUGUGAAGACCAACCAUUUGAAGUUUACAAAUUCUCCAAACUUAGUAGCAUUUCCAUUUCCUCAUGCAGCAAUUUUAGAAGACUUGGAUGGAUCUCUUUCUGGGAAAAAUAGAAGUCACAUUCUUGCUUCUAUGGAAACCCUUUCAGCUUCUUGUUCCCUCAAUGCAAACUACAGUCAGAUUGUCGCUGGCAGUGUCUGUGGGGAAGGUGUUCUCUUUCAUCGUAUGUCUGUUGGUUUGUAA
rnacentral:lncRNA from 1 species